GGAAGUUCCAGCACUCAGCUCCUGUCAAUGUUCCAAUAAUGGCGAAGAAGGCACCAAAGCAGGGAGACCUUGCUGAAGUUGAAAUUGACGACGAUGAUGCCGACGAUGAGAUGUUACCUCCGCAUGAAAUGGUGGCCCGAGGAUCAAUGAGGUCUCCUAGAACCACUUUCUCGGUGCUGGAAGGCGUGGGAAGAACUCUCAAGGGGAGGGAUCUUCGUCAGGUUCGCAAUGCUGUGUGGCGCCAAACAGGUUUUCAGGAUUGAAGUAUGCUCAAUGAAUUUUGAUAUAACUAUAGAAUAUGGAUCUUGUUUUAGAUAUCUGAAGUUUAAAAUUGACCUGAUGUUUUUGUUAUAUUCUGUAUAUAGGCAGUGAAGAAAUGUUUUUACAAAUUUCUUCAGUUUUUAUAUAGCCUAAGUGUAUUGAAAGAAGAUGAAGUUAUUACCUAGAAAAAAUUGCUGAUAUGUU
rnacentral:misc_RNA from 1 species